rnacentral:rRNA from 1 species
GGUUGAUCCUGCCAGAGGUCACUGCUAUCGGGGUUCGAUUAAGCCAUGCGAGUCGAGAGGGUUCGGCCCUCGGCGUACUGCUCAGUAACACGUGGAUAACCUGCCCUAGGGAAGGGGAUAACCCCGGGAAACUGGGGAUAAUACCCUAUAGAUUACAGAUGCUGGAAUGCCCUGUAAUCCAAAGUUCCGACGCCCUAGGAUGGAUCUGCGGCCGAUUAGGUUGUUGUUGGGGUAAUGGCCCAACAAGCCCGUAAUCGGUACGGGUUGUGGGAGCAAGAGCCCGGAGUUGGAUUCUGAGACACGAAUCCAGGCCCUACGGGGCGCAGCAGGCGCGAAAACUUUACAAUGCGGGCAACCGUGAUAAGGGAACCUCGAGUGCCUGUAAAUGCAGGCUGUUCAGGUGCCUAAAACACACCUGAAGAAAGGGCCGGGCAAGACCGGUGCCAGCCGCCGCGGUAAUACCGGCGGCUCGAGUGGUGGCCGCUUUUAUUGGGCUUAAAGCGUUCGUAGCUGGGUUGUUAAGUCUCUUGGGAAAUCUGGCGGCUUAACCGUCAGGCGUCUAAGGGAUACUGGCAAUCUUGGAACCGGGAGAGGUGAGGGGUACUUCGGGGGUAGGAGUGAAAUCCUGUAAUCCUCGAGGGACCACCUGUGGCGAAGGCGCCUCACCAGAACGGCUUCGACAGUGAGGGACGAAAGCUGGGGGAGCAAACCGGAUUAGAUACCCGGGUAGUCCCAGCCGUAAACUAUGCGCGUUAGGUGUAUCGGUGACCACGAGUUACCGAGGUGCCGAAGGGAAACCGUGAAACGUGCCGCCUGGGAAGUACGGUCGCAAGGCUGAAACUUAAAGGAAUUGGCGGGGGAGCACCACAACAGGUGGAGCCUGCGGUUUAAUUGGACUCAACGCCGGGAAGCUCACCGGAUAAGACAGCAGAAUGAUUGCCGGGCUGAAGACUCUGCAUGACUAGCUGAGAGGAGGUGCAUGGCCGUCGUCAGUUCGUACUGUGAAGCAUCCUGUUAAGUCAG